rnacentral:rRNA from 1 species
CAGCCGCCGCGGUAAUACCGGCGGCCCGAGUGGCGGCUACUAUUAUUGGGCCUAAAGCGUCCGUAGCCGGGCUGGUAAGUCCUCCGGGAAAUCUGGUCGCUUAACGAUCAGACUUCCGGAGGAUACUGCUGGCCUAGGGACCGGGAGAGGCCGAGGGUAUUCCCGGGGUAGGGGUGAAAUCCUGUAAUCCCGGGAGGACCACCUGUGGCGAAGGCGCUCGGCUGGAACGGGUCCGACGGUGAGGGACGAAGGCCAGGGGAGCGAACCGGAUUAGAUACCCGGGUAGUCCUGGCUGUAAACGAUGCGGACUAGGUGUCGGGCAAGCUAAGGGCUGGUCCGGUGCCGCAGGGAAGCCGUUAAGUCCGCCGCCUGGGGAGUACGGCCGCAAGGCUGAAACUUAAAGGAAUUGGCGGG